CGAUCCCCCCCGCGCGUGGAAAUCGCUUCAAACCGCGUCUAAGGAGCUUUUCCCAGCCCGAGCCCGAGCUCCUCAGUUACCCGAGAGUCACGUCGGAGCGCGGCGAAGUGCAGCCGGCCGCAGAUGUGUUGCACACAAGAACAAAACUAUUCUGAACUUGAAAGGCCACCUCUUGCCUCAGGAACAUAAUGAAAUAUAAUGAUGACCAGCUGCAUCAUCAAUUAUUAUUUAUCACAAGAUACCACCAGCUGCCACUACUAAGGCGGUCACAGUGCCUACAAGAGAUCAGCUCCUAGAAGAACAGCAGCUGGCUCAAACUUAACCUGCCGAUCUUAAUCCAAACUUAGUCCUAAACUUGUAAUACUUGUAAGACAGUAACUAUUUUUCAUGCAUGGUGAUGUGAUUGAUGCACUAACUGCUGCUCUGAUGAUACCUUCCUCAUGCACUGUGUUCACCCAAGAGAGCAGCCUUGUUGCUUCUAGAAGGGGCAACCCAUGCACCUGCACCCACUCUCUACCACCCCAUCCUCUUUAUCUGCCAGAAAAUUCUAGGCAUAGGCAGGAGUCCAAACAAGCUCAGUGAGGCUAACAAUAGGAAUUCCCUAUGGGUUUGAUUCUUACUUGGGUCAACUUUCUGGCGUAAGAAGGAAUUCUCGCCAUGGCACCAAUGUUGGGGGAGGAAUGAUGAGCACACUCACAGUUGAUGCAGUCACAUUCAUGGGCUAGGAUGGGGAUGAGGUAGUAGAGAGGUCUUAUAUGCCUGUUGCCUAUGUAUGGACUACAGUAAUAGCAGAAAGAAAUGUUGGCAUCACAGCAUACCAACACAGAAUGUUGGUAUUAUCCGUGAAAGUAGACAUGGGCUAAUUAUUAAUCCAAUAUUGGCCCCUAAAUGCAAAUUUAUGUUCAAGUAUAAAACUGAUUUUGUUAUUAAAAUAAUGGCCCUCCAUGUUUUGUUGUUGCCCCCUUGAUCCCUCUUCUAUUCUGGGCUGCUACCACAAGAACAUAUGCAUCAACAUUUCUUAAUGUGGCCAUCUUAGACAAAAGAUUUCACACACGCUGCUAAGCAUAUUGGAUAGUUUGCAAGAGACCUAGUUAUGUGAUGAGAGAAUGGGUAGUGAAAGAGCAAAGUUGCCUUCUUUGUCAUUGGUGAUGGGAACAACAUAGUCAAAACAAUUAAUGAAGGGAAGUAACAUGUGACAGUGUUGGUUAUUUUGUUUGACCCCUCAAAGUCCUGGGUAUUGACCUGUAAUAUUUAGCCAAACCCUGAAACUGCAGAAAUUAUUGCAACCAUACAUAGCACCAGAAUCACUGAAUGCUCAUUUCCAUUACCCAGGUAAGCAGCUUGGUUGCUACUAAUUAAGCCAGACUGGAGCCAACUAGUCAACUGAUGGAUCUAAGGGCAGCAAGGAUGGCACAUGCUGAUUGUCCUCCCUUACCUGCUGUGUAAAUGAAAGUGUUGCUGUUCUCCAUGAGCACCUGCAAACCUUUAAUCUUGAAAACAAAUCUUGAGAACAGCUCAGGUGGAGCUCAGUCCCCAGCUGGCUCUCUGGCUCCACCUUUUUCCAACACUGCCUCUCCUCUUAUCUCCUCCCCUGACAUAGGCAGUCCAGCGGCACUUCUAUAAAUCCACCCCUAACUAGUAAAUAGCAAAGGCAGGUUCCAUCAUUGUGCUAGCUGUUUGACAGCAAUAUUAGAGGCACAAGAAAAUCCCUCUGUGUUAUGACAU